rnacentral:rRNA from 1 species
GUAGGAGGCAAGCGUUGUCCGGAAUUAUUGGGCGUAAAGCGCGCGCAGGCGGGUCCUUUAAGUCUGAUGUGAAAGCCCACGGGCUCAACCGUGGAGGGUCAUUGGAAACUGGGGGACUUGAGUACAGAAGAGGAAAGCGGAAUUCCAAGUGUAGCGGUGAAAUGCGUAGAGAUUUGGAGGAACACCAGUGGCGAAGGCGGCUUUCUGGUCUGUAACUGACGCUGAGGCGCGAAAGCGUGGGGAGCAAACAGGAUUAGAUACCCUGGUAGUCCACGCCGUAAACGAUGAGUGCUAAGUGUUAGGGGGUUUCCGCCCCUUAGUGCUGCAGCUAACGCAUUAAGCACUCCGCCUGGGGAGUACGGCCGCAAAGGCUG